rnacentral:rRNA from 1 species
CCCCUGACCGCGUAUGAAGACGUUUCACCUCGGGUGGACAGGGAGACAGGUGGUGCAUGGUUGUCGUCAGCUCGUGUCGUGAGAUGUUGGGUUAAGUCCCGCAACGAGCGCAACCCCUACGUUUAGUUGCUAACGCGUGAAGGCGAGCACUCUAGACGAACUGCCGUUGACAAAACGGAGGAAGGUGGGGGAUGACGUCAAAUCAUCAUGCCCCUUAUGUUCUGGGCUACACACGUGCUACAAUGGCCGGUACAGACGGACGCAAAGCCGCGAGGUGGAGCAAAUCCUAAAAAGCCGGUCUCAGUUCGGAUUGCAGGCUGCAAUUCGCCUGCAUGAAGUCGGAAUCGCUAGUAAUCGCAGGUCAGCAUACUGCGGUGAAUACGUUCCCGGGCCUU